AUAAUUUUGCGCGUAGUUCUUACUUUAAAAUUUUAUACUUUUAUAAUUUACAAUUUUAUAAUUUUCAUGUUAUUAAAACGUCAUUAAAACAUCAUUAAAAAGUCACAAGUUCCGUCAUAUGUUACGUCUUUUCAAUGAUUUCGGAUAACAUCUGUCCAUGACAUUAGUCCGUCAUUUUAACGUCAUUACAUUGAUCAUGUGUAGUCAAUCUCUGAUCACUUCUGACGUUAUUCACGUAGGUUAUCCUAACGAAGUAUGACAUACCUGAAAUACAAUACUACUUAUCAAAAGACUGCAAAGCAAUGUUGCCUGAAAACGGGUGAAUAUCGUUUCCUCGUCAGGCCACAAGCCGAAAGCGAGUAGAAGUAGCCGAUUGAGACUGAAGAACCGCUUCUUAAUACAGACCAUCAUUGACGGUAAAUUAUUUAAUUUAUUUAAAUUGGCAUAAACGUAUCGCAAGAUGGUGCAUAACACUACCAUGCAAUUAUAACAGCUGUUUGAUGACAAUUUACUGUCUCCGCACGAGAAAAGUGCUCAAUACUUAAGAAAUUUAUCUCAAAUGAAAAGAAGAAAAAUUUCAACGUGUGUUUCCUUCCCACGAAAAAUAUUCGAAAAAUGAUGCCGGAGAAGGAAGUACACGCAAGCGCAGUUCCCCUUUCUAACACUCUUCAGUUCUUGGUGCUUCAGUCCGUUGUGUGCAGUCAUGAUGUUCACAUCGUGGGUUGAGCGGAGCAGCGGCUUAUCGAUUUUAUAUAGGUACAUACAUCUAAAGUCUGGAAUUACCAGUAAGGUACAUACAAUCACCAAUCUGUUAUUUGCAAUUAAUGUUGCCUUAUGCUUAGUGAAGGAUUUAAAAUGUAAAUAUAAGUGGGACUCCACAAUAUUUUGUUGUGGUAAUAAAUGUAAAUGGAAACAAUAAAGGUCAUAAAUUAUCAA